UUAUAUAUUUUUGAUUUAACUGUGUGACAAUUAAUUAACGAUAUAAUUAAAUCACAACAUCCUUAUGAACAGUACCUAACCCGGGUUACUGUUCAUAAAGAUGCUUUUAACUCAACCAAGGUUACUUUGUCCACUGAUCCACUGCCUCCAUCAUUAGCUUCUAAAUUCUCAAUGUAUUCCACCUUCUCCACCGCUCACCUUUUCCGCUGGGUUACUACACAGUUCCGGUUCGUUGCACCCCGCUAUUAUUUGUGUAUUCGAACUUUAAAUUGACUGAUGGUGAUGAAACAGAGGUUGAAGAAGCCACUGGUUUCUCUAUGUUUUCGUAGACACAAAGUCACCGUCCGCCGCCCGCCGGUUGACUUCCGCCUGCCGACUCCCUUCCGUCGGUCUUUACGACCUUCGUUUUGCAGAAAAUCGACUCGACAAUCGACUGGUGUUCGACUUCAUGUAUACUCGACUGUCUAAAAUCGAUCGACGGUCACACCCUUCUCUAAAAUCGAACGACGACGCCCCGGUAAGUGGUGCUCGACUUCAUGUAAGAGCCUUUGCUUUUGGAUUUUUUUUUCGAGUUGAAAAACUGUUUGCUUUCAAGAAAGUUGUAAAUAUGAAUUACUUAUCGGAUAAAAUUCAAACUAAUUUAGCUACAAAUGAAAAGAUCGUUUUCAAUGGUAUUUUCAAAGCCAAGUGUUAAAUAACUAAAUGUAGAUUAGUUGGCUAAAAAUGAUGUUAAAAUUUUCGGAUGCUUUUGAAUAAUAAUUUUCAUGAGUGGACGUGUUUUAAAUUUAUUAUUUGAUGUAAUUUUUGUUUGGCUAAAUCGGUAUUUUUUUUAUGAUACACAACAUAUAUUUGAUUUUUUUGGAAAAAGUGUUUCACAUUAAAUUUUAGGUGAUAAUAAGUUAACAUAAUUUGAAUUUUAUUGUGUGUAGGUCCUCUGAUCCAUAUUUGAUCUUUUGAAUGCAAUAAUUGUUUUUGUUAAGUUAUCUAUUGUAGAUAUGUUUACCUGUAGAUUGUUAUAGGCUUACACAUUCAAUUUUAUCACAAAUUGUGUAUGUUUUAUAUAAGCAUAUUUAUAAUUGAUAAUUUGCUCAAUUUAUCAGUUGAUGCAAUUUCCUUUGUGCCUUACGGUGGAAGAAAGGUACCCGAUACAAGCUGAAAGUAAAAAAAAAAAAAAGGAAGAAAUCUUACGGAAAUUGAACUAUAAGCGUUACGGGUGCAAACGAGCCAAGCUACUCGUGAGCUACUCGGGAUCGGAUCGAUAAAAGCUCGACUCGAAACCGAUUUUAAACGAGCCCGAGCCGAGCUCGGGCUUAAUAUUAAGCUCGUUUAUUAAACUAGCUCGAGCUCGAGCCUAUGUCACUAAGCUCGAUUAGGCUCGCGAGCCUAAACGAGCCUUUACAUAAUAUAAUUUAUUAUUAUUUAUAUAUAUUAAAAUAAAAAUAUAUUAGAGGAAUUACGGAUUUAGGGUAUUAGUAAACGAGCUUCUUAACGAGCUCGAGCCGAGCUUAAGCUUAUUUAGGCACGUCAGA
rnacentral:lncRNA from 1 species